rnacentral:rRNA from 1 species
AGAAGUCGUAACAAGGUUUCGUAGGUGAACCUGCGGAAGGAUCAUUGU